GGCGGCGAGCGGCGGACGGGUGAGUAAUGGCUGGGAACCUGCCCGAUAGAGGGGGAUAACAGUUGGAAACGACUGCUAAUACCGCAUGAUGUCUACGGACCAAAGGAGGGGAUCUUCGGACCUUUCGCUAUCGGAUGGGCCCAGUUGGGAUUAGCUAGUUGGUGAGGUAAUGGCUCACCAAGGCGACGAUCCCUAGCUGGUUUGAGAGGAUGAUCAGCCACACUGGAACUGAGACACGGUCCAGACUCCUACGGGAGGCAGCAGUGGGGAAUAUUGCACAAUGGGCGCAAGCCUGAUGCAGCCAUGCCGCGUGUGUGAAGAAGGCCUUCGGGUUGUAAAGCACUUUCAGCAGUGAGGAAGGUUACGUAGUUAAUACCUGCGUGAUUUGACGUUAGCUGCAGAAGAAGCACCGGCUAACUCCG
rnacentral:rRNA from 1 species